rnacentral:rRNA from 1 species
GGACUGAGACACGGCCCAGACUCCUACGGGAGGCAGCAGCUAAGAAUCUUCCGCAAUGGGCGAAAGCCUGACGGAGCGACGCCGCGUGAACGAGGAAGGCCGAAAGGUUGUAAAGUUCUUUUCUUAGGGGAGAAUAAUGCAGGGAGUGGAAAGCUUUGCAGAUGACAUUAACUGAGGAAUAAGCCCCGGCCAAUUACGUGCCAGCAGCCGCGGUAAUACGUAUGGGGCGAGCGUUGUUCGGAAUUAUUGGGCGUAAAGGGCGUGUAGGCGGUUUUAUAAGCCUGGUGUGAAAUACCACAGCUCAACUGUGGAGACGCGCUGGGAACUGUAAGACUAGAGUUCAGGAGGGGAAGCUGGAAUUCCUGGUGUAGGGGUGAAAUCUGUAGAUAUCAGGAAGAACACCGAUGGCGAAGGCAAGCUUCUAUCCAUGGACUGACGCUGAGGCGCGAAAGCGUGGGGAGCGAACAGGAUUAGAUACCCUGGUAGUCCACGCUGUAAACGAUGUGCACUGGGUGUAGGGGGCGUUGAGCUCUCUGUGCCGUAGCUAACGCGUCAAGUGCACCGCCUGGGGAGUAUGCUCGCAAGGGUGAAACUCAAAGGAAUUGACGGGGGCCCGCACAAGCGGUGGAGCAUGUGGUUUAAUUCGACGAUACGCGAGGAACCUUACCAGGGCUUGACAUGUACUUGAAGGCUUAAGAGAUUAAGUCGACCUUUAGGGGACAGGUACACAGGUGCUGCAUGGCUGUCGUCAGCUCGUGUCGUGAGAUGUUGGGUUAAGUCCCGCAACGAGCGCAACCAUUACUGUCUGUUACCAGCAGGCCUUCGGGCGCUGGGGACUCAGGCAGAACUGCCGGUGACAAACCGGAGGAAGGUGGGGAUGACGUCAAGUCAUCAUGGCCCUUAUGUCCUGGGCUACACACGUGCUACAAUGGCAGGUACAGAGCGUUGCGAGACGGUGACGUCCUUAGCAAAUCGCAAAAAGCCUGUCUCAGUUCGGAUUGGAGUCUGAAACUCGACUCCAUGAAGUUGGAAUCGCUAGUAAUCGCGCAUCAGAAUGGCGCGGUGAAUAUGUUCCCGGGCCUUGUACACACCGCCCGUCACACCACCCGAGUUGGGGGUACCCGAAGUCGCUAGUCUAACUGUAAAGAGGACGGUGCCGAAGGUAUGCCUGGUAAGGGGGGUGAAGUCGAAACAAGGUA